AGUGAACGCUGGCGGUAGGCCUAACACACGCAAGUCGAACGGCAGCACAGUAAGAGCUUGCUCUUACGGGUGGCGAGUGGCGGACGGGUGAGGAAUACAUCGGAAUCUACUUUUUCGUGGGGGAUAACGUAGGGAAACUUACGCUAAUACCGCAUACGACCUACGGGUGAAAGCAGGGGAUCUUCGGACCUUGCGCGAUUGAAUGAGCCGAUGUCGGAUUAGCUAGUUGGCGGGGUAAAGGCCCACCAAGGCGACGAUCCGUAGCUGGUCUGAGAGGAUGAUCAGCCACACUGGAACUGAGACACGGUCCAGACUCCUACGGGAGGCAGCAGUGGGGAAUAUUGGACAAUGGGCGCAAGCCUGAUCCAGCCAUACCGCGUGGGUGAAGAAGGCCUUCGGGUUGUAAAGCCCUUUUGUUGGGAAAGAAAAGCAGCAGGUUAAUACCCCGCUGUUCUGACGGUACCCAAAGAAUAAGCACCGGCUGACUUCGUG
rnacentral:rRNA from 1 species